rnacentral:rRNA from 1 species
CACGUAGGGCGCGAGCGUUGUCCGGAAUUAUUGGGCGUAAAGAGCUCGUAGGCGGCCUGUUGCGUCCGCUGUGAAAGACCGGGGGCUUAACCCCGGUUCUGCUUCCGGUACGGGCAUGCUGGAGUGUGGCAGGGGAGACUGGAAUUCCUGGUGUAGCGGUGGAAUGCGCAGAUAUCAGGAGGAACACCGGUGGCGAAGGCGGGUCUCUGGGCCAUUACUGACGCUGGAGGAGCGAAAGCGUGGGGGAGCGAACAGG